UACAGGGGGUGCAAACGUUGCUCGGAAUCAUUGGGCGUAAAGCGCACGUAGGCGGUUCGUUAUGUCGGAUGUGAAAGCCCUUGGCUUAACCGAGGAAGUGCAUCCGAAACUGGCGAGCUAGAGUACGAAAGAGGAUCGCGGAAUUCCCGGUGUAGAGGUGAAAUUCGUAGAUAUCGGGAGGAACACCGGUGGCGAAGGCGGCGAUCUGGGUCGAUACUGACGCUGAGGUGCGAAAGCGGUGGGGAGCAAACAGGG
rnacentral:rRNA from 1 species